rnacentral:tRNA from 1 species
GCGCCCUUAGCUCAGUUGGAUAGAGCAACGGCCUUCUAAGCCGUGGGUCGGGGGUUCGAAUCCCUCAGGGCGCGCCA